rnacentral:rRNA from 1 species
UACGUAGGUGGCAAGCGUUGUCCGGAAUUAUUGGGCGUAAAGCGCACGUAGGCGGUCCAGCAAGUCGGGUGUGAAAGCCCUCGGCUUAACCGAGGAAGUGCAUUCGAAACUACUGGGCUUGAGUACUGAAGAGGAUCGCGGAAUUCCCGGUGUAGAGGUGAAAUUCGUAGAUAUCGGGAGGAACACCAGUGGCGAAGGCGGCGAUCUGGGCAGAUACUGACGCUGAGGUGCGAAAGCGUGGGGAGCAAACAGGG